rnacentral:misc_RNA from 1 species
GAAAUGCGAUAAGUAGUGUGAAUUGCAGAUGUAACGUGAAUCAUCGAAUCUUUGAACGCAAAUUGCACUCCCUGGUAUUCCGGGGAGUAUGCCUGUUUGAGGGUCGCCAAAUAAACAUCGAUUAAACAUUGCUGUUAAAAGUAUGUUUUAUCGGAUUUGAGCUUUCUUUUUUUAAUAAAGUGGCUUAAAAUUAUUUUUUUGGUAUCAUCGAAAGCGUAUUUUACGAUCAAUUUCUGAUUAAAAAGAACGUUUCGAGUACCAUCCUUCAAUGUAAUACGUCUGAAUACAUGUAAAAUGUAGCUCAUUCGUAUACGAUUUUUAACUUUUUUUUUUUUUUGACCUCAAAUCAGGUAAGAGUACCCGCUGAACUUAAGC